CGUGUGUAGAUCCAGAGGAAGUUGGAAUAAAUAUGGCAUAGCUUUGGCGGUCAUCCCCUGCCCCCGGAGAGUAUCACCGUGAAUAAUUACUCAUAUAUAUCAGCCAGAGAAGCCUGUGACUCAUACACUAUCAACCAUAGUGUAUACCAGAAAGAAACUUCGUCUAACACCAGAUCUUGUUGAAGCUCAGCCAGGGCCUGAAAGAGAUCAGUAAACCAACGCUUCUCCCUCUCCAGACUCAAGCCAUGAUCCAGUUCCAGACAACAUGCCUGAGGUAGGCCAUUAUUCCUCUCGUCCUGUUCAAGGCUUUGCUCAAGAAUAAAUAUUGGAUAGAUUGGGAGGAAACCUUAACUUCAGUUUGUGAAGAUUCGGACUUUACUGGCUAUUGC
rnacentral:lncRNA from 1 species